rnacentral:rRNA from 1 species
CGCGUAGGUGGUUUGGUCAGUCAGAUGUGAAAGCCCUGGGCUUAACCUGGGAAUUGCAUUUGAUACUGCCAGACUAGAGUAUGGUAGAGGGAAGUGGAAUUCCGGGUGUAGCGGUGAAAUGCGUAGAUAUCCGGAGGAACAUCAGUGGCGAAGGCGGCUUCCUGGACCAAUACUGACACUGAGGUGCGAAAGCGUGGUAGCAAACA